GUUUGAUCAUGGCUCAGAUUGAACGCUGGCGGGAUGCUUUACACAUGCAAGUCGAACGGCAGCACGGACUUUAUCGGUCUGGUGGCGAGUGGCGAACAGGUGAGUAAUGUAUCGGAACGUGCUAGUAGCAGGGGAUAACUACGCGAAAGCGUAGCUAAUACCAUACGCCCUUCGGGGAAAGCGGGGGACCUUCGGGCCUGCGCACUAUUAGAGCAGCCGAUAUCGGAUUAGCUAGUUGGUGGGGGUAACGGCUCACCAAGGCGACGAUCCGUAGCUGGUUUGAGAGGACGACCAGCCACACUGGGACUGAGACACGACCCAGACUCCUACGGGAGGCAGCAGUGGGAAUUUUGGACAAUGGGGAAACCUGAUCCAGCCAUCCAUGAAGCGUGUGCGAUGAAGGCCUUCGGGUUGUAAAGCACUUUUGGCAGGAAAGAAACGGCACGGGAUAAUACCCCGUGCAACUGACGGUACCUGCAAGAAUAAGCACCAGUAACUACGUGCCAGCAGCCGCGGUAAUACGUAGGGUGCAAGCGUUAAUCGGAAUUGCAGGCGUAAAGCGUGCGCAGGCGGUUCGGAAGAAAGAUGUGAAAUCCCAGAGCUUAACUUUGGAACUGCAUUUUUAACUACCGAGCUAGGAGUGUGUCAGAGAGUGGAAUUCCGCGUGUAGCAGUGAAAUGCGUAGAUAUGCGGAGGAACACCGAUGGCGAAGGCAGCCUCCUGGGAUAACACUGACGCUCAUGCACGAAAGCGUGGGAGCAAACAGGAUUAGAUGCCCUGGUAGUCCACGCCUAAACGAUGUCAACUAGCUGUUGGGGCCUUCGGGCCUUGGUAGCGCAGCUAACGCGUGAAGUUGACCGCCUGGGGAGUACGGUCGCAAGAUUAAAACUCAAAGGAAUUGCAGUGGAUGAUGUGGAUUAAUUCGAUGCAACGCGAAAAACCUUACCUACCCUUGACGUGUCUGGAAUCGAAGAGAUUUGGGAGUGCUCGCAAGAGAACCGGAACACAGGUGCUGCAUGGCUGUCGUCAGCUCGUGUCGUGAGAUGUUGGGUUAAGUCCUGGCGAGCGCAACCCCCUUGUCAUUAGUUGCCGAAGGCACUCUUAAAUGGAGACUCCGCCGGUGACCAAAACCGGUGGAUGAGAUGACGUCAGUCUCAUGGCUACCAUGGUGGGCUUCGUCAUGCAAUGCAGGCCGGACGGGUAGCCAUGCGGAGGGCCAAUCCAGAACCGAUCGCCGUCGGAUCGCGGUCUGAUGUUGCGAGUGAAUCGCCAGUAAUCAUGAGAUCCGGCAUGCCGCUGUUGAUACGUUCAGGUCUUGCCUUUUAUCCCGUACGCAUGGGAAUGGGUUCACCAAGUAGUGCCCAACCGUAAGGCUACCGAUGGUCGCAGCAGGUUUGGCGAUCAUCUAUAAAGGUGUCUGUUCUGAUAUCGGAGCACGUGUU
rnacentral:rRNA from 1 species